CCUUGUACACACCGCCCGUCACACCAUGGGAGUUGGCUUUACCCGAAGGUGGUGCGCUAACCCGCAAGGGAGGCAGCCAACCACGGUAGGGUCAGCGACUGGGUG
rnacentral:rRNA from 1 species